rnacentral:rRNA from 1 species
UACGAAGGGGGCGAGCGUUGUUCGGAAUUACUGGGCGUAAAGGCGCGUAGGCGGCCUGCUAAGUCGAACGUGAAAUCCCUGGGCUCAACCCAGGAACUGCGUCCGAUACUGGUUGGCUUGAAUCCGGGAGAGGGAUGUGGAAUUCCCAGUGUAGAGGUGAAAUUCGUAAGAUAUUGGGAAGAACACCGGUGGCGAAGGCGGUUCUCUGGGCGAUUACCUGACGCUGAGGAGCGAAAGUGUGGGGAGCGAACAGG